CCCUUCAGAGGGGGACAACAGUUGGAAACGACUGCUAAUACCGCAUACGAUCUAAUCUCGGCAUCGAGGAUGGAUGAAAGGUGGCCUCUACAUGUAAGCUAUCACUGAAGGAGGGGAUUGCGUCUGAUUAGCUAGUUGGAGGGGUAACGGCCCACCAAGGCGAUGAUCAGUAGCCGGUCUGAGAGGAUGAACGGCCACACUGGAACUGAGACACGGUCCAG
rnacentral:rRNA from 1 species